UUUCAGGAUGACUCGAGCGACGAAGAAAAACGCAAGAAAAAACCUAAAGAGAAACCUCGAAAGGACGAUUCAAGUGAAGAUGACAAGAGAGAGAAGAAAAAGAAGUAUCGAAAGGAUGACUCGAGCGAUUCAAGUGAAGAUGACAGAAAAGAGAAGAAUAAGAAGUAUCGAAAGGAUGACUCGAGCGAUUCAAGUGAAGAUGACAGAAGAGAGAA